AACGGGAGUAGAAGUGCGCGUCGUGUGUAGCAUAAAUGAAAAAAAGAAACAGUUAGUGGAAGGAAUUGUAGAAUAAUUGAGUUUGUGAAAAAAAGAAAUAGAAACCUGAAAAAUAAUUAAUUAUACACUUACCUGGAAACCCUGAAAAAGAAAAAAAAACUGAAAAAAAGGUCCGCACAGUGGGCCUUUUUUUCAUGUCUUCUCCAAAAUAGGCAUCAACCACAACUUUCUAGGCAGAAAGUGUAGAGAGCCACCAACAAACUCAAGCGAUUGGCUUACAGCAAGACCGAGCACUCUAACCGCAACUUUUACAACCGAUUGCGAAGGACAAUCGAACCUGGACAGACGUGUCCCAGAGGACGAAACAGGAAGACAUAUUCACACAAGGAUAUGGAUAAACAACGUAUCACACCAAAUUGAGGACCACACCACAUUGCUCAAAUACAUAACGAUUGCGCAAGUAUACAAAACCAUAAACUGUGACGUCACAAAUAGUAAAGUAUAUCAAAACACAUAGAAAAGUAUAUGUUUAGAAUUAAAUUAAAAGUAAAAGAAGUAUUUACACCUAGAAUUUAUAUAGUACGCCACUACAAACAUAAUACACGUGUAAGAAAUUAAAA